UCAGUUUGCCCCACUUGUCUGCCUUGAACUUGAGGAUCAUAAAAGACACUGUCUCCAGAUACUCAAUUCUGGGAUCCGGCAUGAUUGUCGUAACCACCUUUCCUUACACCACAGACCUCUGUAAACAAACAGGUGCCCGCUGGUUUCUGGAGUCCCAGAACCCCACAAAUCUCCAUCUUAGCCAAGCUGGUGAAAGGGGUUCAUUGGCCUUUGUUUUUAAUCUGUGGUCGGGCUGUUGACAAGAGAGGGGCACCUGUUCCUGCCCUGGUGUGGGGUCAUCAGUUGCUCACCAGAUCCACACAAACGUGUGCUUCUGUAGAGAGCUGGAGAGCCCUUUCCCAACGAUGUAAGGAAAUGGCUUCUGCUCCUCAAGAGGCUCCAACUGCCACAGAACUUCUGGCGUGUCAAGAUCUUGGAUAGGAAAUUCCGUGCACUCAUCCGGGGCUGAAUGUUGUUGGAAGCCUAUAAUGAGGACCAGCGACUGCCCGCUAUGCAUUUGCCCACUGCACCGCCACUGCC